UGAGCAAUCUGCCCUUCUCUUCGGAAUAAGCGUUGGAAACGACGUCUAAUGCCGAAUACGACCUCCUUUCGCAUGAUCGGAGGUGGAAAGCUCCGGCGGAGAAGGAUGAGCUCGCGGCCUAUCAGCUAGUUGGUGUGGGUAAUGGCCCACCAAGGCUACGACGGGUAGCUGGUCUGAGAGGAUGGCCAGCCACAUUGGGACUGAGACACGGCCCAGACCUCUACGGGAG
rnacentral:rRNA from 1 species